AUACGGAGGAUCCGAGCGUUAUCCGGAUUUAUUGGGUUUAAAGGGUGCGUAGGUGGUUUGAUAAGUCAGCGGUGAAAGUUUGCAGCUUAACUGUAAAAAUGCCGUUGAAACUGUCGGACUUGAGUGUAAAUGAGGUCGGCGGAAUGCGUGGUGUAGCGGUGAAAUGCAUAGAUAUCACGCAGAACUCCGAUUGCGAAGGCAGCUUACUAAGCUACAACUUACACUGAAGCACGAAAGCGUGCAGAUCAAACAGGAUUAGAUACCCUGGUAGUCCACGCAGUAAACGAUGAUUACUAGCUGUUUGCAAUACACAGUAAGCGGCACAGCGAAAGCGUUAAGUAAUCCACCUGGGGAGUACGGCGUCAACGUUGAAACUCAAAUGAAUUGACGGGG
rnacentral:rRNA from 1 species